CGUCUCAGGCUUCUGCCAUGCAUCAGCAUGCAUCGGCCAUAGACAGUGAUAACUGAUUGUAAAGUUUUAUGGAAAGGCGCGAAACCUUGACGGAGCAUCAAAACGCUGAAGAGGAGCAAAGAUGGAAGAGCGGCCGCUGACAUGGAGGCUGCCUAUAAGGCUGCAGCGAUCAGAGCAGCAUGGUGUGAUUGCUGGAACAGAGUCAUAGGCCAGUGCAGCCAAAUCCCAUGCCUGGAAACCGACUCACGCAAAUGCUCUGCAGAAGCUCUGCUCCCAAGGAGGUGGAGCAUAGCUGAGCAUAGUAACUUCCGGAAAGAGCACGGAAACAGCAGAAAGGAGAGACGAGCUUUACUGUGGAUAAACCUGACACACACUCAGCCAGGUCCUAAAGGUCAACACCAUGGUAUUACGUCAUGUGCAUUGGAUGUGCACUUGCUGAUUUGAUGAAAUUGACACUUUACCGUGUGACCUUGUCCCAAAACUCAAAACCCCAGUCUAAUUAUGAGGAAGACAUCAGAAAAAUCUCACUGGAAGCAUAUUCCUCAAAAUGCCAGAGCAUCAGUUUUCAAACGUGCAAAGGUGAUCAAAAGCAAGACAAGACCAAGGGACUGUUAAAACCAAGAAGAACCUCAGGAGACAUGACUCCUAAAUUAAUAUGGUACCCUUGACGGGAUCCAGGAAACAGAAAAUUGACAGGUGAGAACUAAGGAGGUGGGAAUACAGUGUAAACUUCAGUGACUAAGGAUGUAUCAGUGCUACUUCAUUAACUGUGAUAAGUGUACCAUAGCCAUAGAAGAUGUUAAUCGUGGAGGACCCCGGGUGUGACAUGUAUGCAAGCACUCUGUAUUAUGUUUGCAAUAAUUUUGUCACUCUAAAACUGUUCCCCAAUAAAAGUUCAUUAAAACUG